rnacentral:rRNA from 1 species
CCUACGGGAGGCAGCAGUGGGGAAUAUUGGACAAUGGGGGGAACCCUGAUCCAGCGACGCCGCGUGAGUGAAGAAGUAUUUCGGUAUGUAAAGCUCUAUCAGCAGGGAAGAAAGAAAUGACGGUACCUGACUAAGAAGCCCCGGCUAACUACGUGCCAGCAGCCGCGGUAAUACGUAGGGGGCAAGCGUUAUCCGGAUUUACUGGGUGUAAAGGGAGCGUAGACGGCGAUGCUAGUCUGAAGUGAAAGGCGGGGGCCCAACCCCCGGACUGCUUUGGAAACUGUAUGGCUGGAGUGCAGGGGAGGUAAGUGGAAUUCCUAGUGUAGCGGUGAAAUGCGUAGAUAUUAGGAGGAACACCAGUGGCGAAGGCGGCUUACUGGACUGUAACUGACGUUGAGGCUCGAAAGCGUGGGGAGCAAACAGGAUUAGAUACCCCUGUAGUC